UCGGGAAUUUUGGGCAAUGGGCGAAAGCCUGACCCAGCAACGCCGCGUGAGGGAUGAAGUAUUUCGGUAUGUAAACCUCGAAAGAAUGGGAAGAAUAAAUGACGGUACCAUUUAUAAGCUCCGGCUAACUACGUGCCAGCAGCCGCGGUAAUACGUAGGGAGCAAGCGUUGUUCGGAUUUACUGGGCGUAAAGGGCGCGUAGGCGGCGCGGUAAGUCACUUGUGAAAUCUCUGAGCUUAACUCAGAACGGCCAAGUGAUACUGCUGUGCUAGAGUGCGGAAGAGGCAACCGGAAUUCUUGGUGUAGCGGUUAAAUGCGUAGAUAUCAAGAGGAACACCUGAGGCGAAGGCGGGUUGCUGGGCCGACACUGACGCUGAUGCGCGAAAGCCAGGGGAACAAACG
rnacentral:rRNA from 1 species